UUUGGGGUGUGUGUGUGAAGGUGAAUGUUGAUUUCACGUCCUGGAUAUAGGAAGCAUCUGGCUAGCACUACUGGAAACAGGAUGUGGGACUUUAGAGGACAUUUCAUCUGAUCCAGUGGAGAUCAUCUUAUGUUCAUCUUAUGAAUGGUUGUGAGGUUAUGCACCAUCCGUUCUCCUGCAUCCUUCUGAGUGACGAGAAAGGAAGAAAAGGGUUAUUAAGGUAGAUCAUAUGCAACUAUGAAAACACAUCCUGAUGGUCUACUGAGGGAAGAACCUCUCUUUGAAACUUGAAAAAUAUUUGCUAGCCCACAUAGACCAAAAUGAAGUACACUCUCUCUUUCAAUAGAUCUGUUUCAUCCAUCAACUGUGUCAUUUCUCCAAUCACAGAAAUAUGGUAAAGACAAACAUUAGAGGGAAUAUAUCUUUCCAAAUCUCUCCAUUUCUUGUGAGUUGGGAAAAAACAGAAAACUUCACUUACAUUUCUAGAUUAGAGACUUGUAAUUUCGUUUAAAAAAUACAAAUUCCUAAUCAACUGGGGUGAUUUGAUGUAGCACGUAUAUUUCUUUUACAUUACAGUACUUACCAUAUUUUUUGGAGCAUAAGACACACUCCCCCCUCCCCCCCCCCAAAAAAAAAGUGGGUGGAAAUGUCUGUGUGUCUUAUACAGCUAAUACAGGCCCAUUUUUGGCCUCUGGAGGUCUUGUUUUUGUUCUCCAUGGUGCCCCAGAAGCAC